rnacentral:rRNA from 1 species
AUGGAGCACGGACGAGAUGAGCAAGCAGAAGAGGUGUUGGGGGACAUAAUCUUAGCCGGAGGUGAUAUCUUGUCGUAUCUUAACGACAAUGAUGGUCUGGAAGAACAGGGUGAAGAAGCAGGCUGCGGUGAUCGAAGAGUGGAGGAGGAAAGACAUGAUUAUGAUGGCUCCGGUGACCCAAUGCUGGUGCAAGAAGGAGCCCGUGGUGACGGCUCCGGUGACCGAACAGAGUCCGGCCAGCCCUCCGGAUCGAGCACAACUGCGGUAAAGAGACGAGGCCCGAAGAGAAAGUUGCGCUCGGAUGAAAGGUUUGAGAUCACAGCAAUCGCGCGUGACGGCCAACCGAUUGAACCCAUCCGGACAAAGGAUGCAUUUGCUGCUCAGUGCGGGGUUCUAGUUAGGGACAAGAUCCCGAUCAGCAUCCACCAAUGGUAUAAGCCUAAGAAGGAAGACCCUGAGGUGUCUUAUGUCAAUGAUAUGCAGAAAGAUGAUCUUUGGACUGAGCUGAAGGCAAAUUUCACCCUACCGCCAGAGGAGGAUCCGGAGAAGCCAAUUAAAGAGCAAUUAAUCAAGUCUCAUGCUCUUAAGAAGAUGGCAGACCUAUUCAGGAGGUGGAAGAAUGAGCUGAAAACGUUUGUCGACAAAGAAGAGACACCUGAAUUCAUCGGCCGGUAUGAGAAGAUCAGAGAUCACUGGCCCGCAUUUGUGGCCCACAAGACAUCGGAAAAGAGUAAGAAGAUGUCAGCGACAAACAAGAUGAAUGCUGCGAAGAAGAAGCUUCACCAUCGCACGGGGUCAGGUGGCUACCUCAAAGCCCGGCCUAAGUGGGCCAAGUCUGAGAGGGAUCUGCUUGAUAAAGGGAUCGAACCACAGACAAUGAACUGGCCAGACCGUUGCCGGACUUGGUUCUUCGGGGCUGGCGGAACCUUGGACCCUGUAUCAGGGAGGUGUCGUUGGACGGACGAGCAACUUGCAAUACCCGUCAAGAAGAUUCAGCACUAUAUCGAUGCAGCGCAGCAAGGGACGUUCAUUCCAGACAGAGAGAACGACGAGCUCACAAUGGCCCUCGGGAAUCCUGAGCAUCCUGGACGGACACGAGGCACGCCAGGCUCCGUUCCGUGGAAGGCUGGUUUUCCGGACGCGGGCGGUUACAAAACCAAAGAGAGGAGGAAAAAAGUGGAGCAGAUCCAAAUUCAGCGUCUGCACGAAAGGGUUCAAGUGCUAGAGGAACGAGACAGCAAUAGAGAUGCCGAAACUGCCCCCGAAGCUACACCGCCAUCUCAGCGUAGAAGCAGCGUGGCUUCCACCGAGCUGCCCCAGCUGGAGCAUGCGGCUACUCCUAGCUACCCCGUGGAUGCUAUCACGGAGUCUCAACAUUGCCACCUUAUGGCGGAAUGGCAGAACUUGAAAGUCAAGGCGGCUGUUGGCUCUGUUUUACCUACUGAACCCGGCGCAACCUACCACUGCCGGCCGAUUCCUGAAGGAUAUGCUAGGGUGAUGGUGGAUGAAAUAACGGAGGGAUUUGAGGACCUCCAGCUUGACCACCCUACCGGUGAAGGGGAGACUCGGCUGGGUUUAGCUCUGAAGACUCCAUGCCUAUGGCGGAAGGAGCUCAUCAAGCUUCCGAACUGGACGGCUCCGGCGAGUAAGGGCACUCCGCCUCCUCCUCCGCCUCCUCCUCCGGCGAGUGAUCAGGGCACUCAGCCUCCUUCUCCGGUGCGUGGCGGCACUCCGCCUCCUUCUCCGCCAGCGCCGGCGCGCCAGAGCAGCCAGCCUCCUCCUUCUCCGCCUCGUCAGCAAGGGCGGAAGAGACCCGCCACUGCUGCGGCUGCUCCGGCGCGUCGUAGUCCUUCUCCUCCGCCUCGUAAGCAAGGAAAGAAGACAGCCGCAGCCGCUCCGUCUGCUCUGUCAGCGUCUAGCAGUACAGCUGCCAGAGGCGGGAGGCAAUACAGAUUCGGUCCUUCUGUGAAGACUCCAGAGAAGUUACCAUAUGAGAGGACCGAGGAGGAGAACGCGAAGAUCGUGCGAGCCGAAGUGAAAAACUUCUUUGAAGGGGACAAAGCAAAGAAACAUCCACCUCCGGAGGAGAAGGUAGAUCCGGUGAAAGCAAAGCGCACUCUGGCUGCCCUGACAAAACCACCAAAGUCUCCGCCAAAAGGCAACUAUGAGCGCGUUCUUGCAAAGGCAUAUGCCGAAGCGGAGCGGUCGGGAAGUACUGUCAGUGAUAAAAGGAUGAAAGAGCGACGAGCUGGGAAAAAAAUUGCCCAGCUCGGCGAACAAGAGAACCAAUCGUGCCCCCGCUCAAGGUGUCAAAAGACAUCGUCGCUAAUGAUCCGGAUAUGGUGCCCGGUUAUACCGAUCUUGGAGAUUACCUGCCCGACGAUGUACAUUAUGAAAUCAUGGAGGUGGGCGAACACAAAUACCAUUACGGGAAGCCUCUCGUCAAAGAUGUCAAAUCUCUAA